ACGGGUGAGUAACGCGUGGAUAUCUGCCUUUUGGUUCGGAAUAACCCCGGGAAACUGGGGCUAAUACCGGAUGGUUCCUACGGGAUAAAGAUUUAUCGCCAAAAGAUGAGUCCGCGUACGAUUAGCUAGUUGGUGAGGUAAUGGCUCACCAAGGCGACGAUCGUUAGCUGGUCUGAGAGGACGAUCAGCCACACUGGGACUGAGACACGGCCCAGACUCCUACGGGAGGCAGCAGUGGGGAAUAUUGGACAAUGGGGGCAACCCUGAUCCAGCCAUGCCGCGUGAGUGAUGAAGGCCUUCGGGUUGUAAAGCUCUUUUGGCGGGGACGAUGAUGACGGUACCCGCAGAAUAAGCCCCGGCUAACUUCGUGCCAGCAGCCGCGGUAAGACGAAGGGGGCUAGCGUUGUUCGGAAUUACUGGGCGUAAAGCGAGUGUAGGUGGUUGUCAUAGUCAGGUGUGAAAGCCUUGAGCUCAACUCAAGAAAUGCACUUGAUACUGGGCGACUAGAGGACCGGAGAGGAUAGUGGAAUUCCCAGC
rnacentral:rRNA from 1 species